rnacentral:rRNA from 1 species
GGAAGUAAAAGUCGUAACAAGGUUUCCGUAGGUGAACCUGCGGAAGGAUCAUUACAGUACUCACCCAGGUUGCCGCAAGGCCUCCUGGGUAACCUACCACCCUUUGUUUAUUACACUUUGUUGCUUUGGCAAGCCUGCCCUCGGGCUGCUGGCUCCGGCCGGCGAGCGCUUGCCAGAGGACCUAAACUCUGUUUGUCUAUACUGUCUGAGUACUAUAUAAUAGUUAAAACUUUCAACAACGGAUCUCUUGGUUCUGGCAUCGAUGAAGAACGCAGCGAAAUGCGAUAAGUAAUGUGAAUUGCAAAAUUCAGUGAAUCAUCGAAUCUUUGAACGCACAUUGCGCCCCCUGGUAUUCCGGGGGGCAUGCCUGUCCGAGCGUCAUUACAACCCUCAAGCUCAUCUUGGUAUUGGGCCCCGCCGACCCGGCGGGCCCUAAAGUCAGUGGCGGUGCCGCCCGGCUCCGAGCGUAGUAAUUCUUCUCGCUCUGGAGGUCCGGUCGUGUGCUCGCCAGCAACCCCCAAUUUUUUUCAGGUUGACCUCGGAUCAGGUAGGGAUACCCGCUGAACUUAAGCAUAUCAAUAAGCGGAGGAAAUCGACGACCUGCAGGCAUG